rnacentral:lncRNA from 1 species
AAAGACUUAGGACCGGCUCAACAAAUAUUGGGAAUGCAGAUCACCCGAGACAGGAAGAACCGGAGGUUAUGGCUAUCUCAGGAGAAGUAUAUUGGACGAGUGCUUGCACGGUUCAAACUGAGCCAUGUCGAAUGCUCAAACUACCCCUGAAAAUCCCCUGAAAUUACUAACACUUAAUUAAACUCUAACAGUUAUAACCAAUUACCUAAGCUAACUUAAACAAACUAAGACUAAUUAAUUGAAAUUGAAACUCAAGCUUUAAUGAACACUAAUACCAUAUAAUCAAAACAGUACAUUAACCAUUAUCUAAUAAGUAAAAAUGGAAACUAAAGAAGAACUCAUAUCAAUGGCACCCAAUCAUAUGUCGCAGUCAGAAACAUGAAGGUGUGAAUUAAUAGAAACGAAAUUAGAGACAGGAAAACUGGAAAGAAACCAAAAUCAAAUUAAACUGAACCACCCAAUAAAAUAAAAAUCAAGAAGCUAACCACUGAAUCAAAAAGAAUUGGAAUCAAAAAUCAUGCGAUGAAAUCAACAACCGGAAAUUAAAACUUAGGAGAACAGAAUAAAUCAAAAUAAAAUGGAAUCAAACGAGAUGAAAGAACUUACUGACUUUGGGAGUUGAACGGCUUGAAUUUGAAUUGGGCUCCCAAAUAACAUUAUAAGUUUUGUUCUUGGUGAGAACAACUGUAUGGGGUUAUUUAGGAACUCAAAUCGACCUUGGACAGUCCUCAAAUACAAAUCCCAUAUCUUCCCAUAAACCCUAGAUGUGAAAUUUGAUGAAUUUUGAUUGGAUUUGGGAACACUAGCUUGAGGUUUUAAGUAGAGGAGAGUGGGAGAAGUAUAGGGUGUGAGCCUGGGUGACAGUCCAAUUUUUUUAAAAUUCAAAAGGCUGGGCUAAUAUUUGAACCAUAAUUUUUGGGGCUUUGGAAAGAGGAGACGGAGGGGCUUCAAUAGUGUAAAUUUGGGGCAAUUUGGAGAAGGUUGUGUUGUGGCCGAAGUUUUUUGAUCUGAUAUUCAAAGGUUUUGGUUGAUGUUUGAGGGAAAUUGAAGGUGGAUUUGGAUAGAGGAGGGGAAGAGGAAUUCAGGGUGUUAUUUUGGGGUCGUUUGGAGCUCCGCCGCCAGCGGAUACGAUUUCCGGCCGGCGGAUGAACAUAAGUACGAAGAAGAUGACAUUGGUCUAAGGUUAGUGAGUGAUCUUCAGACAGUUUUAUUAAAUGACCCAUAGUGAAU